AUUGAACGCUGGCGGCAGGCUUAACACAUGCAAGUCGAGCGGAGAGAGGUAGCUUGCUACCGAUCUUAGCGGCGGACGGGUGAGUAAUGCUUAGGAAUCUGCCUAUUAGUGGGGGACAACAUUUCGAAAGGAAUGCUAAUACCGCAUACGUCCUACGGGAGAAAGCAGGGGAUCUUCGGGCCUUGCGCUAAUAGAUGAGCCUAAGUCGGAUUAGCUAGUUGGUGGGGUAAAGGCCUACCAAGGCGACGAUCUGUAGCGGGUCUGAGAGGAUGAUCCGACACACUGGGACUGAGACACGGCCCAGACUCCUACGGGAGGCAGCAGUGGGGAAUAUUGGACAAUGGGCGCAAGCCUGAUCCAGCCAUGCCGCGUGUGUGAAGAAGGCCUUAUGGUUGUAAAGCACUUUAAGCGAGGAGGAGGCUACUUUAGUUAAUACCUAGAGAUAGUGGACGUUACUCGCAGAAUAAGCACCGGCUAACUCUGUGCCAGCAGCCGCCGUAAGAC
rnacentral:rRNA from 1 species